ACGGGAGGCAGCAGUGGGGAAUAUUGGGCAAUGGGGGAAACCCUGACCCAGCAACGCCGCGUGAAGGAAGAAGGCCUUCGGGUUGUAAACUUCUUUUACCAGGGACGAUAAUGACGGUACCUGGAGAAAAAGCAACGGCUAACUACGUGCCAGCAGCCGCGGUAAUACGUAGGUUGCAAGCGUUGUCCGGAUUUACUGGGUGUAAAGGGCGUGUAGGCGGAGCUGCAAGUCAGAUGUGAAAUCCCGGGGCGCAACCCCGGAACUGCAUUUGAAACUGUAGCACUUGAGUAUCGGAGAGGCAAGCGGAAUUCCUAGUGUAGCGGUGAAAUGCGUAGAUAUUAGGAGGAACACCAGUGGCGAAGGCGGCUUGCUGGACGACAACUGACGCUGAGGCGCGAAAGCGUGGGGAGCAAACAGGAUUAGAUACCCUGGUA
rnacentral:rRNA from 1 species